rnacentral:rRNA from 1 species
UGAGGAAUAUUGGGUCAAUGGGCGAGAGCCUGAACCAGCCAAGUCGCGUGAGGGAAGACGGUCCUAAGGAUUGUAAACCUCUUUUGUCGGGGAACAACGAGUUGCACGCGUGCGACAGUGAGGGUACCCGAAGAAAAAGCAUCGGCUAACUCCGUGCCAGCAGCCGCGGUAAUACGGAGGAUGCGAGCGUUAUCCGGAUUUAUUGGGUUUAAAGGGUGCGUAGGCGGCAAGUAAGGUCGGCGGUUAAACUGCGGGGCUCAACCCCGUAUCGCCGUCGAAACCGGCAGGCUAGAGUGGAGAAGAAGUAAGCGGAAUGCGAGGUGUAGCGGUGAAAUGCAUAGAUA